UAAGGUUCCACAAGGGACGUGAGUGCCCCCAG
rnacentral:piRNA from 1 species